rnacentral:rRNA from 1 species
UCAAGAAUCUUCCUCAAUGGCCGAAAGGCUGAAGGAGCGACGCCGCGUGCAGGAUGAAGGCCUUCGGGUUGUAAACUGCUUCUACUUGGGACGAAUUUGUGACGGUACCAAGUGAAUAAGAGGUUGCUAACUCUGUGCCAGCAGCAGCGGUAAUACAGAGACCUCAAGCGUUAUCCGGAUUUAUUGGGCGUAAAGCGUCCGUCGGUUGUUUGGCAACUCAGGGGUUAAAACCUACCGCUUAACGGUAGGACGGCCUUUGAAAAUACCAAACUAGAGGAUGGAAGAGGUAAGCGGAAUUCUCGGUGUAGUCGUAAUAAGCGUUGAUAUCGAGAAGAACACCAAAUGCGAAGGCAGCUUACUGGUACAUUCCUGACACUUAAGGACGAAAGCGUGGGGAGCAAACAGG